rnacentral:rRNA from 1 species
UACGGAGGGGGCAAGCGUUGUCCGGAUUUAUUGGGUUUAAAGGGUGCGUAGGCGGCUUUGUAAGUCAGUGGUGAAAUAUGGCAGCUCAACUGUCAAGGUGCCAUUGAUACUGCAGAGCUUGAGUACAGAUGAGGUAGGCGGAAUUGACGGUGUAGCGGUGAAAUGCUUAGAUAUCGUCAAGAACACCUAUAGCGAAGGCAGCUUACUAGGCUGUAACUGACGCUGAGGCACGAAAGCCAGGGGAGCAAACGGG